CAUUGGUACCACUCAACGCCUCAUGAUGCCCAUCCUGGAAAAGCGGAGGGGUCAAUGCAGAGGCUGAAGGCAGUGCGGGGGUGGGGUGGGGCUGGGGGCUCUUCCCCGCGUGUUUCUCCUCCUGGAGGAGGUGGCGGUCUCCAAUCCUGAGAUCAGCUCCUCUAGCUCCCUGCUGCCCAUGGCCUCCCGCAGCCACUGACUCCGGUGACUGACCUCUGUGGGGACACUGCCUCUUCCUGUCCUGAAACACCGACAGUAUCAACAUAUGAUCAAAGAGUCCAGGUGGUGCAAAGAUAACAUGGAAGUGUCCUAUCAGUGCCAGGGCGUGGAGUGGGACAGCGAGGGGAAGGGGCACCCAUAACUAACCAUGGUCUGGUCCAGGGCCGAAAGGACCUUGGGGAAAAUGGGCACGCGGUGCUGGGAGAGUCCUGGGAGCGGGAGAGCACGAAGGGCACAGCCGCUGGGACAGUGCAGCCCAAACUUUCUGGAAGUGUGAACUGGACCCUCCUGGGGUGGGACCUGGCAUGGGGUAGGACACUAGGGAUCCAACAAGGAAAAUAAGGCCAUGCCAAGGAGGAGGCUGCAAGGGGAUGGCUUUGUGGCUGACUCUGUCCAGCGUUUCCCAUGGGGCGUCCCAGCUCAUCUUUGCAGUUUUGCCUUCCCCCUGGACAGUGAGUCCUGCCAGGCAGGGUCUCUGGCUUGUUCACAUUUGUAUAUAUCCCCAAGAAUACUUGGUCUAGCACCUUGUAGGGGCUCAGCACAGGCUAAAGUGUCAUUUGCUCUAGAGCUGUUGGAGAGGUUGAGGACUUAGUCAUUUGUGGUCAUUGAUAAGUCCUCUUUCUUUUCUUUCUUUGCUUUUUUCUUUUCUUCUUCUUCUUCUUCUUCUUUUUUUUUUUGACGGAGUUUCGCUCUUGUUGCCCAGGCUGGAGUACAGUGGCACGAUCUCGGCUCACGGCAACCUCCGCCUCCUGGGUUCAAGCGAUUCUCCUGCCUCAGCCUCCCAAGUAUCUGGGAUUGCAGGCAUGUACCACCACGCCUGGCUAAUUUUUGUAUUUUUAGUAGAGACAAAGUUUCACCAUGUUGUCCAGGGUGGUCCCGAACUCCUGACCUUAGGCGAUCCGCCGGCCUCAGCCUCCCAAAGUGCUGGGAUUACAGGUGUGAGCCACCGCGCCCGGCCGAGAAGUCCUUUCUCAUAAUUGGUGAAUAUAAAUCCCGGAGUCCUCACCACAGGCUCCGGGCCCUGCAUGAUCCGGGCCCCGCUGGAUUCGGCCCCUUCUCUGCUCCCUCUGACUUCACGCCCUAUCACUCUGCUCCUCACUUCCUCUGCAAAAAGCCUAGCACCCUCCGGCAGCUCCUCCUUGGAGCCGGCUCUGGCUCCAAACAAAAGAUACCCAAACAAAGGCAAGAAAGUGGUGAAUUCCUAGAACCGGGAGGGCGCGGGCUCGGGGGCCAGCUGCAGGUUCCUGAGACGUGGGAGAGGAGGAGGAGUGAACACAGACCGCAGGCCAGUGAGUGGAGCAAGGUGCAAACUGCCAGAGAGCGGAGGCCCGGCCCGAAGACCCCAGACUCGCCUCCCGCCCACCCGCCCCCACGUGAAAAGGCACCAGAUCCUAAGCGCUAACAGCGAAGGGCGGGACCGGCAGAGGGCUCCCUGCGGCGCCUCUCGAGGCGCGAGCGACCGGAAGGAAAGGCGGGAGGCUCAGCAGCGCGGCGGUGGGAGGAGCGCGCCCUUGCUGAUUUCAUGGAGGCCCGGGGCCGCGGGCGCUGUUCUCCUUCCUGUGCCGAGUGUGGUUUGCUAUCAAGCGGUGGCAGUUCAGCCACAAUCAGGGGCAGGGGGAGGGAGAGGCCCCCCGAAGAGGCAGAGGCCCUGCCUCGGCCGCCCUGAGCCUGGAAGCAUCAUGUUGCCUUUUAAUAUGGAGCAUGUGCCAUAGCUCUCCAGGAGAACCCCUCUGUGUCACAGCGAACCUCAGUCACUGACACUCAAAAGAAGGAAUUAUUUCAACUCAAUAAUAAACAAAUAACCCUAUUUUAAAAUCAGCAAAGGGUGUUACCACAUUUCCACAGAAGGUAUACAAAUGGCCAGUAAUCAUGUGAAAAGAUGCUUGAUAUCAUUUGUCAUCAGGGAAAUGCAAAUCAAAACUGCAAUGAGAGGCCAGGCGCUGUGGCUCACACCUGUAAUCCCAGCGCUUUGGGAGGCUGAGGCAGGUGGAUCGCUUGAGCCCAGGAGUUCAAACCCAGCCUGACCAACAUGGUGAAACCCCGUCUCUACAAAAAAAUACAAAAAUUAGCCGGGCACAGUGGCCUGUGCCUGUAAUCCCAGCUACUCAGGAGGCUGAGGCAGGAGACUCACUUGAACCCAGGAGGCAGAGGUUGCAGUGAGCCGAGAUUGUGCCAUUGCACUCCAGCCUGGGUGACGGGAGUGAAACCCUGUCUAAAAAAACCCCAAAAACAAAAACUACAAUGACAUAUCACUUUAUAUGCACUAGGAUGCCUAGCAUCAAAAGGUCAAAUAAAACAAGUAUGUGGAGAAACUGCGACCCUCAUACACUGCUGGUGGGAAUGUAAGAUGGUGCAGAAACUUUGGAAAGGAGUCUGGCAGCUCCUCAAAAGGUAAAAGCAUGGAGUUAUCAGGUGGCUCACAAAUUCCAUUCCUAGGGACCUAAAAGAAAUGAAGACAUGCUAUACAAACACCUGAAGACAUGCUAUACUAACACCUGAAGCCAUGCUAUACUAACACCCGAACAUGAAUGUUCAGAACAGCAUCAUUCAUGAUUACCAAGAAGUGGAAAAAACCCAAAUGUCCAUCAACUAACUGACGAGUGGAUACAGUAUAUCCAUGCAGUGGAAUUUCUUUUUCUCUUUCUUUCUUUCUUUUCUUUCUCUUUCUUUCUUUCUUUUUCUUUCCUUCUUUCUUUCUUUCUUCUUUCUUCUUUUUUUUUUUUUUGAUGGGAUCUCUUUCUGUCACCCAGGCUGGAGUUCAGUGAUGCUAUCUCAGCUCACUGCAACCUCCUCCUGGGCUCAAGCGAUCCUCCCACCUCAGCCUCCCCAGUAGCUGGGACCACAGGUGCCUGCCACCACACCCGACUAAUUUUUUGUAUUUUUGGUAGAGAUGGGGUUUCUGCCCAGGCUGGUCUUGAACUUCUGAGCUCAAGCGAUCCACCCGCCUCAGCCUCCCAAAGUGCUGGGAAUACUGGCUUGAGCCACUGCGCCCAGCUAUGCAGUGGAACAUUUCUCAGCCAUAGAAGAGAAUAAAGUACUGAUACAUGCUACAACAGGGACAAACUUUGAAAACAUUAUGCUAAGUGAAAAAAGUCAGUCACAAAUGAUCACAUGUUACAUGAUUUCAUUUACAUGAAUUGUUCAGAGAAGGCAAAUCUGUAGAGAGAGAAAGAUUAGUGGUUACCUAGGUCUGGGGGUUUGGGGGAAAAUGGGAGUGACUGGUAAUGGGUAUGGGGUUUCCUUUUGAGGUUAUGAAAAUGUUCUAAAAUUGUGGUGAUGGUUUCAUGAGUAUGUGAACAUGCUAAAAGCAAUUGCCUUGUACACAUUAAAUGCGUAAAUUAUAUGGUAGAUGAGUUAUAGCUCAAUAAAGCUGUUCUAUAAAAAUAAACCACUGGGCACUGUGGCUCACGCCUGUAAUCCCAGCACUUUGGGAGGCCGAGGCAGGCAGAUCACCUGAGGUCAGGAGUUCGAGACCAGCCUGACCAACAUGGUGAAACCCUGUUUCUACUAAAAAUACAAAAUUAGUUGGGUGUGGUGGUGCAUGCUUGUAAUCCCAGCUACUCAGGAGGCUGAGACAGGAGAAUCACUUGAACCUGGGAGGUGGAGGUUGCAAAUGAGCCGAGAUCACGCCAGAAAAAAAGAAUAGGUUAACAUAGACUCAGUAUACAAGAAAGGGAAGUGUGGCGGCUCACAUCUGUAAUCCCCGUGAAGUGGGAUUUGUUUAACAUUUUUUGAAAAUCAGAAUAAAAAAGAUUAGUGCUUAAACUGAUACUCUCUAGUUAUUUGGAAAAUACAUUUAUGUAAAACAUGUGUUUUCCUAUUAUAGUCUAAAUUAGAACAUUGGAGCACCUAGCAACAUCUUAAAGCUAGUUAAACAGAAUGACAUCAUAUUUUGACCAUACUGUUUUGAAAUUGUGCAGUUUCUCUUUGUAUCUCUAGAGUGAUUCAUGAAUAUGUAUUUGGCUUCUCAAAUUAAAAAUAUUUCACUGCUAUUGAACUAUUCCUUUAAUAUCUGUAUAAAUGUUUUUAAGUAUUAUAUUUUGAGGAUUUUGAAGCUUUAGGUUUCUUAUUUAAAAUACAAUUAUCGGCCAGGCAUGGUGGCUCACACCUGUAAUCCCAGCACUUUGGGAGGCCGAGGCGGGUGAAUCACAAGGUCAAGAGAUCAAAACCAUUCUGGCCAACAUGGUGAAACCCCGUCUCUACUAAAAAUACAAAAAAAGUUUAGCCAGGCGUGGUCGUGGGCACCUGUAGUCCCAGCUACUCAGGAGGCUGAAGCAGGAGAAUGAUGUGAACCCAGGAGGCGUAGGUUGCAGUGAGCUGAGAUCGCACCACUGCACUCCAGCCUGGCAACAGAGCGAGACUCUGUCUCAAAAAAAUACAAUAAUAAAAUAAAAUAAAAAAUAAAAUAAAAUAUAGAAUCAUCUGGGCCAGGCACGGUGGCCCAUGCCUGUAAUCCCAGUACUUUGGGAGGCUGAGGUAGGUGGAUCCCUUGAGCUCAAGAGAUUGAAACCAGCCUAGGCAACAUGGUGAAACCCCAUAUCUACAAAAAUACAAAAUGCAAAAGAAUUAGCCAGGCAUGGUGGCACGCGCCUGUUGUCCCAGCUACUCGGGAGGCUAAGGCGAAAGGAUCAUUUGCACCCAGAAAGUCGAGGCUGCAGUGAGCCAAGAUUGCGCCACUGCACUCAAGCCUGGGUGACAAAGCGAGACCCUGUCUCAAAAACAAAACAAAAUUUUAAAAUUGCCACAAUUAUCCUUAAUCUUAUGUUGGAGAUGAUUACUAGGGAGAUCAUUAAUAUAUAA
rnacentral:lncRNA from 1 species